rnacentral:rRNA from 1 species
GGGAUUGCCCUAGUAACGGCGAGUGAAGCGGCAACAGCUCAAAUUUGAAAUCUGGCGUAAGCCCGAGUUGUAAUUUGUAGAGGAUGCUUCUGGGUAGCGACCGGUCUAAGUUCCUUGGAACAGGACGUCAUAGAGGGUGAGAAUCCCGUAUGUGACCGGCCCGCACCCUUUACGUAGCUCCUUCGACGAGUCGAGUUGUUUGGGAAUGCAGCUCUAAAUGGGAGGUAAAUUUCUUCUAAAGCUAAAUACCGGCCAGAGACCGAUAGCGCACAAGUAGAGUGAUCGAAAGAUGAAAAGUACUUUGGAAAGAGAGUUAAAAAGCACGUGAAAUUGUUGAAAGGGAAGCGCCUGCAAUCAGACUUCGCGGCAGUGUUCCGCCGGCCUUCUGGCCGGUUCAUUCUCUGUCGCGAGGCCAUCAUCGUCUCGGCCCGCUGGAUAAGACCUUGGGAAUGUAGCUCACCUUCGGGGGAGUGUUAUAGCUCAUGGUGAUGCAGCGAGGCUGGGGCGAGGUCCGCGCUUCGGCAAGGAUGAUGGCGUAAUGGUUGUCGGCGGCCCGUCUUGAAACACGGACCAAGGAGUCUAACAUCUAUGCGAGUGUUCGGGUGUCAAACCCCUACGCGUAAUGAAAGUGAACGGAGGUGGGAACCGCAAGGUGCACCAUCGACCGAUCCUGAUGUCCUCGGAUGGAUUUGAGUAAGAGCAUAGCUGUUGGGACCCGAAAGAUGGUGAACUAUGCCUGAAUAGGGUGAAGCCAGAGGAAACUCUGGUGGAGGCUCGCAGCGGUUCUGACGUGCAAAUCGAUCGUCAAAUUUGGGUAUAGGGGCG